rnacentral:pre_miRNA from 1 species
AAAGGAAUAACUGGGUCAAAUGGUGGUUUCAUUCAAAAUUUUCUGAGGAAUCUUCAUAGUGCUUUCCAAAGUGGUUGAACUAAUUUGCAGUCCUAUCAGUAAU